CCUACGGGUGGCAGCAGUGAGGAAUAUUGGUCAAUGGCCGGAAGUCUGAACCAGCCAAGCCGCGUGAAGGACGAAGGUGCCAAGCAUUGUAAACUUCUUUUGUCAAGGGACAAAAUCAGGCUCGCGAGCCUGACCGCGGGUACUUUAUGAAUAAGCAUCGGCUAACUCCGUGCCAGGAGCCGCGGUAAUACGGAGGAUGCGAGCGUUAUCCGGAUUUAUUGGGUUAAGGGGGUGCGUAGGCGGGCUGUUAAGUCAGUGGUAAAACCCCGGGGCUCAACCUCGGCGUGCCAUUAAAACUGGGGGUCUUGAGUGGUGGAGAGGUAGGCGGAAUGCGCAGUGUAGCGGUGAAAUGCUUAGAUAUUGCGCAGAACUCCGAUUGCGAAGGCAACAUACCGGAGGGGAUCUGACGCUGAGGCACGAAAGCGUGGGUAGCGAACAGGAUUAGAUACCCGUGUAGUC
rnacentral:rRNA from 1 species